rnacentral:lncRNA from 1 species
CAGAAGUUUGCAGUGUCAUAAGGCACAGCUUUUAUUCUCUUUCAUGACUAAUUGGAGAUUAAAGCAAGGAAGGAAAGCAUCCCAUACACCGAGAGGAAAAUUAACAGCAGGAUUAGUGCUCACAAAGGAUAAACCACACUGAUCAGCGAGGAGAAACUUCAAAGCACAUUCCAGGCAUUUGGUGAUGAAAGACAGGUUGAAGCAAAGCAGUGAUGAAAAGCAUUUAACAUCCCAUACACCAAGAGGCAAAGUUAACAGCAGGACUAGAGCUUACAAAGGAA